rnacentral:tRNA from 1 species
GUGUCCGUGGUGUAAAGGCAGCACGCCUCCUUGUGACGGAGGCGGUACCGGUUCAAUUCCGGUCGGACACCCA